AGCUCUCUGGCAGGGUCCCCCUCUUGCCCUCACGGCCCUGGAGCACUUGAAGCUCGGCUAUCUCUUUCUGCAGGCCUGACUUCUCCUCCUCCAGCUCCUCUGUCUCCUGCAGAGGGAAGAGAGAGUCCUGUUCCAGAAUGAGAUGGUAUGGGCCAGAGCCUCACGGAGCAGAGAACAGCAUAUUCCACGGUGAAAAAAAGUUUCCAUCUGUCUCAAGGGUCUGACGAACGUCAUGAGCUUAUGAGAGGUUUCCUGUGGAGGAUGUGGCUCAGGGGCCUGGG